CUGUGCAGCCGGGGAAGUAGCGGGGCCCUGUACCUGAAGUCCGCUCUAGCAGGGGUGAUGCCAAUCUGAGGAUUUCGUUUUGUGGAGCAGCCCUUUCAGGGCAGCGUUGACGUUUGGGUCUCACGCAGCGGAAACCUGUGAACCGUGUCAGGGUGGGAACACAGCAGCACUAAGCAGGACCUUUCGAGUGCCGUGAGGGUGCCUGGACUGAGUCAGCCGGAAAGGUAACGUCCGGGGAACGAUUUUCGAGGUGCGGCGCACAU
rnacentral:SRP_RNA from 1 species